rnacentral:rRNA from 1 species
UUGACCUCAAAUCAGGUAGGACUACCCGCUGAACUUAAGCAUAUCAAUAAGCGGAGGAAAAGAAACUAACAAGGAUUCCCCUAGUAACUGCGAGUGAAGCGGGAAAAGCUCAAAUUUAAAAUCUGGCGGUCGUCGACCGUCCGAGUUGUAAUCUAGAGAAGC